rnacentral:miRNA from 1 species
UUGAAGUUGGGACGGCGACUU